rnacentral:rRNA from 1 species
AUUGAACGCUGGCGGCAGGCCUAACACAUGCAAGUCGAGCGGUAACAGAAAGAAAGCUUGCUUUCUUUGCUGACGAGCGGCGGACGGGUGAGUAAUGCCUGGGAAUAUACCCUGAUGUGGGGGAUAACUAUUGGAAACGAUAGCUAAUACCGCAUAAUCUCUUCGGAGCAAAGAGGGGGACCUUCGGGCCUCUCGCGUCAGGAUUAGCCCAGGUGGGAUUAGCUAGUUGGUGGGGUAAUGGCUCACCAAGGCGACGAUCCCUAGCUGGUCUGAGAGGAUGAUCAGCCACACUGUAACUGAGACACGGUCCAGACUCCUACGGGAGGCAGCAGUGGGGAAUAUUGCACAAUGGGGGAAACCCUGAUGCAGCCAUGCCGCGUGUAUGAAGAAGGCCUUCGGGUUGUAAAGUACUUUCAGUUGUGAGGAAGGCGUUGGAGUUAAUAGCUUCAGCGCUUGACGUUAGCAACAGAAGAAGCACCGGCUAACUCCGUG